rnacentral:rRNA from 1 species
CACCGCGGUUAUACGAGAGGCUCAAGUUGACAGACAACGGCGUAAAGAGUGGUUAGGGAAAGUACUUAAACUAAAGCCGAACGUCCUCAAAGCUGUUGAACGCUUUCGAGUUAAGAAGCCCCCUUACGAAAGUAGCUUUAUCCAACCUGACCCCACGAAAGCUGUGGAA